rfam:Triticum urartu cultivar G1812 contig1050464, whole genome shotgun sequence.
UAUAUACUCCCUCCGUCCGAAAAUACUUGUCGUAAAAAUGAAUACAAUGGAUGUAUCUAGAAUUAAAAUACAUCUAGAUACAUCCAUUCCUCGGACAAGUAUUUCCGGAUGGAGUGACUAUGAA